GUGAGUCAUCGAAUCUUUGAACGCAUAUUGCGCUCUCUGGUAUUCCGGAGAGCAUGCUUGUUUGAGUAUCAGUAAACACCUCAAACUCCAAGAUUUGUUUCUUUGGAGUUUGGAUUUGAGUAAUCCUAACGAGAAAGCAAUUUCUUGGCAGGUCACUUGAAAUUCAGGUGCAGCUGAACAUUCUUCUGAGCUAAAAGCAUAUUUAUUUAGUCCUGUCGAACUUUCGAGUUUUUAUGGAUUAUUACUUUUUGCUGCAGCUAAUAUAAAGGUUGAAUGGUUUCAAAUGCUGACUGAUGCAGG
rnacentral:misc_RNA from 1 species